rnacentral:rRNA from 1 species
CCUACGGGAGGCAGCAGUAGGGAAUAUUGCUCAAUGGGGGAAACCCUGAAGCAGCAACGCCGCGUGGAGGAUGAAGGUUUUCGGAUUGUAAACUCCUUUUGUUAGAGAAGAUAAUGACGGUAUCUAACGAAUAAGCCCCGGCUAACUCCGUGCCAGCAGCCGCGGUAAUACGGAGGGUGCAAGCGUUACUCGGAAUCACUGGGCGUAAAGGGCGCGUAGGCGGGAUAGCAAGUCAGAUGUGAAAUCCUAUGGCUUAACCAUAGAACUGCAUUUGAAACUGUUAGUCUAGAGUAUGGGAGAGGUAGGUGGAAUUCUUGGUGUAGGGGUAAAAUCCGUAGAGAUCAAGAGGAAUACUCAUUGCGAAGGCGACCUGCUAGAACAUAACUGACGCUGAUGCGCGAAAGCGUGGGGAGCAAACAGGAUUAGAUACCCGGGUAGUC